CGCACGGGUGCGUAACGCGUAUGCAACCUACCAUCAACAGGGGGAUAACACUGAGAAAUUGGUACUAAUACCCCAUAAUAUCUCAUGNGGCAUCGCAUGGGGUUGAAAACUCCGGUGGUUGAUGAUGGGCAUGCGUUGUAUUAGCUGGUUGGUGAGGUAACGGCUCACCAAGGCGACGAUACAUAGGGGGACUGAGAGGUUAACCCCCCACAUUGGUACUGAGACACGGACCAAACUCCUACGGAAGGCAGCAG
rnacentral:rRNA from 1 species